rnacentral:rRNA from 1 species
UCACUAGUGAUUAGAGUUUGNNCCUGGCUCAGGAUGAACGCUGACAGAAUGCUUAACACAUGCAAGUCGAUUCAAGUUACCUUCNNNNAAUGAGGAUGGCGGACGGGUGAGUAACGCGUAAGGAACUUGCCUCUUGGUCUGGGACAACUGUUGGAAACGACAGCUAAUACCGGAUAUUAUGAGAUUCUCGCAUGGGAAACUUAUGAAAGCUAUAUGCGCCAAGAGAGAGCCUUGCGUUCCAUUANCNAGUUGGUGGGGUAACGGCCCACCAAGGCGACNAUGGAUAGCCGGCCUGAGAGGGUGAACGGCCAC